GAUGAACGCUGGCGGCGUGCCUAACACAUGCAAGUCGAGCGAUUCUCUUCGGAGAAAAGCGGCGGACGGGUGAGUAACGCGUGGGUAACCUGCCCUGUACACACGGAUAACAUACCGAAAGGUAUGCUAAUACGAGAUAAUAUGCUUUUAUCGCAUGGUAGAAGUAUCAAAGCUCCGGCGGUACAGGAUGGACCCGCGUCUGAUUAGCUAGUUGGUGAGGUAACGGCUCACCAAGGCGACGAUCAGUAGCCGACCUGAGAGGGUGAUCGGCCACAUUGGAACUGAGACACGGUCCAAACUCCUACGGGAGGCAGCAGUGGGGAAUAUUGCACAAUGGGCGAAAGCCUGAUGCAGCAACGCCGCGUGAGCGAUGAAGGCCUUCGGGUCGUAAAGCUCUGUCCUCAAGGAAGAUAAUGACGGUACUUGAGGAGGAAGCCCCGGCUAACUAC
rnacentral:rRNA from 1 species